GAGUCUGAUGGAAUAGCAAAGCUGACGAGUGUGAUCCUGGGCGGCCUGACUGUUUUCCUUGUAAUAGUCAUCAUCGGUCUGCUUGUUAAAAACAGGAAACUUCAGACAGCUCAUAAAGAAGAACAGAAUCCAGAGCAAACAGAGAAUGUGGCCUCUGAUGAGCUGAACUACGCAGCAGUGACUUUUCAACCAAAAGGAAAAAGAAGUGAGCGAGAGCCGAAUGUUAUUUAUGCUGCCACCAGAUAGACUCGGGAGACAUCUGAAACUGAUGCUGUAUCGUAU